CCUACGGGAGGCAGCAGUGAGGAAUAUUGGUCAAUGGCCGCAGGGCUGAACCAGCCAAGUCGCGUGAGGGAUGACGGUCCUAUGGAUUGUAAACCUCUUUUGUCAGGGAGCAAAGGGCGCCACGUGUGGCGUUUUGCGAGUACCUGAAGAAAAAGCAUCGGCUAACUCCGUGCCAGCAGCCGCGGUAAUACGGAGGAUGCGAGCGUUAUCCGGAUUUAUUGGGUUUAAAGGGUGCGCAGGCGGUCUGUUAAGUCAGCGGUCAAAGCCCGGGGCUCAACCCCGGCCCGCCGUUGAAACUGGCAGUC
rnacentral:rRNA from 1 species